GCUCGACCUCAAAUCAGGUAGGAAUACCCGCUGAACUUAAGCAUAUCAAUAAGCGGAGGAAAAGAAACCAA
rnacentral:rRNA from 1 species